rnacentral:rRNA from 1 species
UACGUAGGGUGCAGGCGUUAAUCGGAAUUACUGGGCGUAAAGCGUGCGCAGGCGGUUUGUUAAGACAGAUGUGAAAUCCCCGAGCUUAACUUGGGAAUUGCGUUUGUAACUGGCAAGCUAAGUGUACAGAGGGGGGUAGAAUUCCACGUGUAGCAGUGAAAUGCGUAAUAUGUGGAGGAAUACCGAUGGCGAAGGCAGCCCCCUGGGUUAACACUGACGCUCAUGCACGAAAGCGUGGGGAGCAAACAGGAUUAGAU